rnacentral:rRNA from 1 species
GACGAACGCUGGCGGCGCGCUUAACACAUGCAAGUCGAACGGAAAGGCCCUGCUUUUGUGGGGUGCUCGAGUGGCGAACGGGUGAGUAACACGUGAGUAACCUGCCCUUGACUUUGGGAUAACUUCAGGAAACUGGGGCUAAUACCGGAUAGGAGCUCCUGCUGCAUGGUGGGGGUUGGAAAGUUUCGGCGGUUGGGGAUGGACUCGCGGCUUAUCAGCUUGUUGGUGGGGUAGUGGCUUACCAAGGCUUUGACGGGUAGCCGGCCUGAGAGGGUGACCGGCCACAUUGGGACUGAGAUACGGCCCAGACUCCUACGGGAGGCAGCAGUGGGGAAUAUUGCACAAUGGGCGGAAGCCUGAUGCAGCAACGCCGCGUGCGGGAUGACGGCCUUCGGGUUGUAAACCGCUUUCGCCUGUGACGAAGCGUGAGUGACGGUAAUGGGUAAAGAAGCACCGGCUAACUACGUGCCAGCAGCCACGGUGAUACGUAGGGUGCGAGCGUUGUCCGGAUUUAUUGGGCGUAAAGGGCUCGUAGGUGGUUGAUCGCGUCGGAAGUGUAAUCUUGGGGCUUAACCCUGAGCGUGCUUUCGAUACGGGUUGACUUGAGGAAGGUAGGGGAGAAUGGAAUUCCUGGUGGAGCGGUGGAAUGCGCAGAUAUCAGGAGGAACACCAGUGGCGAAGGCGGUUCUCUGGGCCUUUCCUGACGCUGAGGAGCGAAAGCGUGGGGAGCGAACAGGCUUAGAUACCCUGGUAGUCCACGCUGUAAACGGUGGGUACUAGGUGUGGGGUCCAUUCCACGGGUUCCGUGCCGUAGCUAACGCUUUAAGUACCCCGCCUGGGGAGUACGGCCGCAAGGCUAAAACUCAAAGGAAUUGACGGGGCCCCGCACAAGCGGCGGAGCAUGCGGAUUAAUUCGAUGCAACGCGUAGAACCUUACCUGGGUUUGACAUGGAUCGGGAGCGCUCAGAGAUGGGUGUGCCUCUUUUGGGGUCGGUUCACAGGUGGUGCAUGGCUGUCGUCAGCUCGUGUCGUGAGAUGUUGGGUUAAGUCCCGCAACGAGCGCAACCCUUGUUCACUGUUGCCAGCACGUUAUGGUGGGGACUCAGUGGAGACCGCCGGGGUCAACUCGGAGGAAGGUGGGGAUGACGUCAAGUCAUCAUGCCCCUUAUGUCCAGGGCUUCACGCAUGCUACAAUGGCUGGUACAGAGAGUGGCGAGCCUGUGAGGGUGAGCGAAUCUCGGAAAGCCGGUCUCAGUUCGGAUUGGGGUCUGCAACUCGACCUCAUGAAGUCGGAGUCGCUAGUAAUCGCAGAUCAGCAACGCUGCGGUGAAUACGUUCCCGGG